AUUGAACGCUGGCGGCAGGCCUAACACAUGCAAGUCGAACGAGUGGCGGACGGGUGAGUAAUGUCUGGGAAACUGCCUGAUGGAGGGGGUUGACUACCGGGAACGGUAGCUUAUACCGCAUACCAUCGGAUGUGCCCGGAUGGGAUGAGCUAGUAGUUGGGGUAAAGGCUUACCUAGGCACCGCGCCCUAGCUGGUCUGAGAGGAUGACCAGCGACAAUGGAACGGAGACACGGUCCAGACUCCUACGGGAGGCAGCAGUGGGGAAUAUUGGACAAUGGGCUCAAGCCUGAUCCAGCCAUGCCGCGUGUAUGAAGAAGGCAUUCGGGUUUUAAAGUACUUUCAGCGGGGAGGCGUUACCCGCAGAAGAAGCACCGGCUAACUACGUGCCAGCAGCCGCGGUAAUUC
rnacentral:rRNA from 1 species